CAGGGAGUGCCCUGCAAAAUGUGCCUGCUAAGAGGACAACUGGGGAGAGAAAUACAGUAACCUCCAUUAGAAUAUGAGUUCCAUGUAAGUUGUAGAAGAUCCAGGAGAGGAAGAUUUAGGACUCUGAAGCUGUUGCUGCCUCCCUGAAACAUGGCGUGAACAUUUGUCUUCCAAUCAUCAGAUUUACUGUGAUUGAAAAGUCUGAACACCUUGGAGAAUACCACUUGUGGAGGAGAGAAGCUGGCCCUUUACCUUGGCUAUUAGCACUUAUUCCUAUACCAUCAUCGAGAGAAAGAUAAGUCAGUUACUAAUUCUGUCUACUCCCUUCACCCCCAAUAAUUGACAAGAGAUCUCUUUGGAAACUCAACAUGAUACAGCUAGAUUCAGGUGAAAGACAGAGAAUCUAUGACAAAUAACAAAGGAUGCCAUAGAUG
rnacentral:lncRNA from 1 species